rnacentral:rRNA from 1 species
AGCGAACGCUGGCGGCAGGCCUAACACAUGCAAGUCGAACGAAGUCUUCGGACUUAGUGGCGGACGGGUGAGUAACACGUGGGAACGUACCUUUUGGUUCGGAACAACUCAGGGAAACUUGAGCUAAUACCGGAUGAGCCCUUAGGGGGAAAGAUUUAUCGCCGAAAGAGCGGCCCGCGUUAGAUUAGCUAGUUGGUGAGGUAAAGGCUCACCAAGGCUACGAUCUAUAGCUGGUCUGAGAGGAUGAUCAGCCACACUGGGACUGAUACACGGACCAGACUACUACGGGAGGCAGCAGUGGGGAAUCUUGCGCAAUGGGCGAAAGCUUGACGCAGCCAUGCCGCGUGAAUGAUGAAGGUCUUAGGAUUGUAAAAUUCUUUUACCAGGGACGAUAAUGACGGUACCUGGAGAAUAAGCAUCUACAAACUACGUGCCAGCCGCCGCCGUAAAAC